rnacentral:rRNA from 2 species
AAAUUGAAGAGUUUGAUCAUGGCUCAGAUUGAACGCUGGCGGCAGGCCUAACACAUGCAAGUCGAACGGUAACAGGAAGCAGCUUGCUGCUUCGCUGACGAGUGGCGGACGGGUGAGUAAUGUCUGGGAAACUGCCUGAUGGAGGGGGAUAACUACUGGAAACGGUAGCUAAUACCGCAUAAUGUCGCAAGACCAAAGAGGGGGACCUUCGGGCCUCUUGCCAUCGGAUGUGCCCAGAUGGGAUUAGCUUGUUGGUGGGGUAA